GCAGCUAUGUUCAUGGGUCCAUAUACAUCACUAUGUAUUAGACCUAAAAUAUCACUGGCUCGUUCAUAUUUUCUCUUAAAAGGUGACUUGGUCAUGUUACCAAAUAGAUAAGAUUCAUAGAUCGAUAAUAAUUCACAAUCAUUAAUUUCAAAGAUACCCUCCUUGAUUAACCUAUCUAUCCUGUUCUUAUUCACAUAACCUAGC
rnacentral:lncRNA from 1 species